rnacentral:rRNA from 1 species
GGGUCAGUAGGUUGGUCGUGCCACCGGUACGUACUGGUCUCACUGAUUCCUCCUUCCUGAAGAACCGUAAUGCCAUUAAUUUGGUGUUGCGGGGAAACAGGACUGUUACUUUGAAAAAAUUAGAGUGUUUAAAGCAAGCUAACGCUUGAAUACAUUAGCAUGGAAUACUGAAAUAGGACGAUCGAUCCUAUUUUGUUGGCUUCUAGGAUUGACGUA